rnacentral:rRNA from 1 species
GUUUGAUUCUGGCUCAGGCUUAACGUUAUUAGGGUAUAUUCGAUAUGCUAAUCAAACGUUUUCAAAAAAUGUGGUGUACUUGAGAGUAAUGUAAAAGAAUAUGAAGUUAAACUUGGCAUAAAAUACCAGAUAAAAAAAUUAAAUUUGUUUAACGUAAUACUUUUAUAAGAUUAGGUUUAGUAGGCUUAAAUCUAUUAAUCCAAAGAUCUUUAACAAAUUUUAACGAAUCAAUUGUCUCAUUGGCUUUGAAAUAAUAGCCAAAUUUUUAAAAAUCGCAGUCAAGAAUAUUGAACAAUUAAGGAAACUUAGAUUCAGUGACCCUAAAUAAAAAAAUUGAUAACUUAUCAUAAAGUUUAAUCGCUUAAACAAAAAUUGAUUGUUUAAGUAAAAACUCUAACAAAUCACGUGCCAGAUGUUUCGGUAAUACGUGGGGAGUAAACGUUAGCCAAAAAUACUUGGCGUAAAUCGCUGAAAGGGUGCAAUUAAAUACUAAAAAAAACGCAAAUAAUAACUUUGCUAUAUUUUUUAUCAAAUAAAUUGCUUUGAGUUCUUGUUAAGAAAAUAGAAUAAGCUAAGUAGAGAUAAAAUUCUUUUAUAUAGUUUGGAAUAUCGAUUGCAAAGGCAAUUUUCUAACAAAUUAACCUUAGUUUUAAUAAACUAAAUAACUGACCCUUUUUAUUGCUAAAGUUUGAGUAGCAAAAAGAAUUAGAGACUCUUGUAGUUCAAACCUUCACCUAUGGCGAUCCUUUUUUUAAACGAAAAGCAUUAAACAUAUAAUUCGCCUGCCUGAAUAGUAUAGUCGCAAGACUGAAAUUUAAAGAAUUAGACGAGAAAGAGUAUAAUUCGUGGAUUAUGUUACUUAAUUCGAUACAACACGCAAAUUUUACCAUUAUUUG